UUCCGAGGUGGAGCAGAAAGGGAAUACAGUUACCCCCAUAGAGAAUAGAGUUUGGUAAAGUGGUGGAAACCGAGGUGAGUGUACUAACUUAUAAUUGAUGUUGAGCUUGUAUUAUUGGGAUGUUAUGAUGAUAUUGCAUUUACAUUUCACGUGCCUUCGUGGCGAUUCAUUACAUGGUCCUAUGAGAUGAGACAUUACCUUUGUGGCGUAACAUGCUUAGUAAUUGUGGAUGAUAUUUCUGUUGUUAUGCAUAAAUUGUGAAUAUGGGGAUAUAUAUAUGAUUUGAUAUAUAAAUUAUGAGUUGUAUAUUCACCGAGCAUGUGAUUAGCUCACACCCCGACAUUGUUUCUUUUCAGAUGCCUGCUAACGAGAGAGUUCACUGCCGAGUCGUAAAGACAGAGUUUUAUACUCUGGGUGAGUUAGGUCGGACCUGUGUUGGGUUUAUGUUUUAUAAGUAUGCAUAUGUAGAUAGUUGUGGAUAAAGUUUGUAAUAAUACUCGGAUAGAAAAUUUUGUUUUGUAUCACCCGUUAGUUGUGUG
rnacentral:lncRNA from 1 species